rnacentral:rRNA from 1 species
UACGGAGGGUGCAAGCGUUGUUCGGAAUUACUGGGCGUAAAGGGCACGCAGGCGGGUGGACAAGUCGGAUGUGAAAGCCCGGAGCUCAACCGUGGAACUGCGGUAGAUACUGUCUGUCUUGAGUUCGGGAGAGGGUGGUGGAAUUCCUGGUGUAGAGGUGAAAUGCGUAGAUAUCAGGAGGAACACCGGUGGCGAAGGCGGCCACCUGGCUCGAUACUGACGCUCAUGUGCGAAAGCGUGGGGAGCAAACAGG